rnacentral:snoRNA from 1 species
GCCUGGGUUUGAUUUCGGUAGGCCUCUGCCCCCAAGUCUCUCAGACUGUCCCAUGUCAGAACAAACUGUAGCCCCCAACCAUUUCCUGGCCUCUGUGCCCACAGGGAGUUGGCAAUGAAGCAGUUCCCACAGUA